UGUCCUACGGGGGGCAGCAGUGAGGAAUAUUGGUCAAUGGACGCAAGUCUGAACCAGCCAUGCCGCGUGCAGGAUGACGGCUCUAUGAGUUGUAAACUGCUUUUGUACGAGGGUAAACCCCGAUACGUGUAUCGGGCUGAAAGUAUCGUACGAAUAAGGAUCGGCUAACUCCGUGCCAGCAGCCGCGGUAAUACGGAGGAUCCGAGCGUUAUCCGGAUUUAUUGGGUUUAAAGGGAGCGUAGAUGGGGUGUUAAGU
rnacentral:rRNA from 1 species